UACAGAGGUGGCAAGCGUUGUUCGGAAUUACUGGGCGUAAAGGGCGCGUAGGCGGUGUGUCAAGUCAGGCGUGAAAGCCCCGGGCUCAACCUGGGAACUGCGCUUGAGACUGGCACGCUCGAGUUCGGGAGAGGAUGGUGGAAUUCCCAGUGUAGAGGUGAAAUUCGUAGAUAUUGGGAAGAACACCGAUGGCGAAGGCAGCCAUCUGGACCGACACUGACGCUGAGGCGCGAAAGCGUGGGGAGCAAACAGG
rnacentral:rRNA from 1 species